GAUGAAGAACGUAGCGAAAUGCGAUAAGUAAUGUGAAUUGCAGAAUUCAGCGAAUCAUCGAAUCUUUGAACGCACCUUGCGCUCCUUGGUAUUCCGAGGAGCAUGCCUGUUUGAGUGUCAUUAAUAUAUCAACCUUCUCUUUUUUGAGUUGUUUGGAUGUGGGGGUUUGCUGGCCUCUUAAAUGAUUCAGCUCCCCUGAAAUGCAUUAGCAGAACAACCUGUUCAUUGGCGUGAUAAUUAUCUAUGCUAUUGAAUGUGAGGGCAGUUCAGCUUUCUAACCGUCCUUGGACAAUUCAUCAUUAAUGUGACCUCAAAUCAGGUAGGACUACCCGCUGAACUUAAGCAUAUCAAUAAGCGGAGGA
rnacentral:misc_RNA from 1 species